UCCAGUGGUAGUCAGCUGUCUGUGUCAGUACCAUGUCUGUGACAGUGUUACACUGCUGGGAGAUUAAAGUGCUGUCUGCUUUUACCUGUCUGUCACUGUCUCUGUUCUGGGGACAGCUGACACCAGUGUGGGGCAGUACUGUGCUUCUCUGAGUGUGCUGAACAGUUAACAUCCUGCCCAGCGCUAAUCUGGAAGCAUACACA